UAAGCAAUGGCAAUCACUCUUCACCCGCUAAGUUUCCGAGCUCUGCCUUCCUGCCUGGUUUUGAUGUGGCUGUCCGAGCUUCUACUGCACAUAAGAAUGAAAGGCUUCCUACUUUCAAAUGUGUUGGACCUAAAGCCACAUUAACCUUUGAUCCCCGAACAGCCAAUGCUGAGAAGACCAAGCAAAAGAAGCAUACAGUUGACCCUGCUGUUCCUGAUUUCUUGCCUCUCCUUUCAUUUGAGCAGCUUCCCAAAGAGCUCGAAAGAAUAUAGGGAGGUCACUCAUGAAGAAACUAGUCAUGUACUCAAAGUUCCUUUCUAACGGAUCCUUCGUUCCCUCCGCUUCCUCUGUAGAAUCUCCCACCAAUCUUGCCUUGCAUGCCUCGUCAAACUCCCAACAUUAUACAGAGUAGCCUUGUACGUCAGCGCCCGUCGAUGUCGAUAUCUCGUGUCCCGAUGAGAAGAGUGAUUUGUUGAAGCUCAGGGACUCCAUUAACUCUUCGUUGGAUUUGCAUCGGAGGUGGACCGGGCUUCCUCACAUUGGGGACGAGAGCAGGUGGGUCAGCGUCAGCUGCUCGAACUCACAUGUCGUUUAGCUCGUGCUCAACGGGGAUACAACUGACGGGGUCGCUCCCGAAAAAUUUCCUGCAAAGUGUCAUUUUCUUGACCAGGCUCAGCCUCCGGAACAACUCCAUUUUCGGGGCGUUGCUAACCCUGGUAGGGCUCCUGCACUUGGAGGACGUCUCUUUCUCUCAGAACGGGUUCUCAGGCUCGAUCCCUUACGAGUACGCUGAGCUCCCGACACCGACCAAAUUGGAGCUGCAGGGAAAUGUCUUAGUUCGGGGAUUUGAUUCAAACGGUGAUGUUUCAAACUAGGCACGUGUUUGGGGUUUAAAAAACGAUUUAAUUGACGUCGUUUGGUCCACAUGUGCAGUCACGUAAGACUUCCAUUACCUCGUCUGACGUCAAGGACCAUUUUGAUAUGCAAAAGGCAAACAUUUGGAUUAAUAUGGUGGCAAAAUUAAU